UGGAUAGCUCAGUCCCCACUCUCAUGGGCCUUUCUGUACAGCAGUGGCCAAGUCAUUGUUGCCACGGGGCUACAUGGCACAGGAAGAAGACACACUAGGCAUGAAGCCCAGGCCUGGACCUGGACUGGGGGGUGGGGGGGGUGGCCACGCCUACUUCUAGAAGGGAGGUAGGAAGUGAUUAGUUAGGGGAAAGAGGAGGUGUAGAUAGCACUGGCUGUUUUUUUCUAGAAGACUAGGAGAACUGAAUGCCUCCAAAUCCACAACCCUGCCUACGUUGUGGAUUAAAGUCCAGGACUUCUGCUCUAACAUCGAAGAUCAGGAGUUCUCUUUACCAGGCCUCUCUGCCUGGUUAGCAGGUGCAAUGGUUAACUUCGAUGGUAACUUAACUGGUCUGGAAGCAUCUACGAAAGAACUAGAGGUGGCUCAGCGGCGGCUAAGAGCAUUUGCUCACGUCCAGAGAACCUGAUUCAAUUCCCAGCACCCACAUGGCAGCUCACAACUGUCUGCAACUCCAGUUCCAGGGGUCUGACACUCACUCCUGGCCUCUCUGGGCACCAGGCGCACAUAUGGUUCAUAUACAGAUAACAGUGCAUAGACGCAUAUGUAGGUAAAACACCCACACACAUAAACAAAUUAAUUUUUUUUAAAAAGUACCUAAGAGGCUAGUACAACACACCUAGGGACAUAGGAUAGAUAUUCCACAGCCAUGAGGACAUGAGGGCGGUCCUAAGAGAUG
rnacentral:lncRNA from 1 species